UAAGGGGCGGACCAUUAGAAAUCCCGGGAGGGGGGGGGUAUAAAAUUUUUGCGGCACGAAUUUUUUUUUCAGUCUCAUGUCUCUGCAGGAAUUUUUUUUUAAUGCAUUUAACCUCUGCACGAAUUUUUUUUCAAGACUAUUUGUACUUUGCUGUUUGCUUGCACGAAUUUUUUUUUCUCUGACGUAAUGGCUGCACGAAUUUUUUUUCCAGGCAUUUUUCUUUGUACGAAUUUUUUU